GGCGAUGGGGGAGCUGCAGUGUCAGGAGGCCCCACAGGAAGGAGAAUCAGAUCAUUCCCUCAAAAUUCACAGGCUGCCCCUCCCCGUUGAGCAUCUGUCUCCCGCAUCUCAAAAAAGCAUCGGAGACGGUCCUGUAGAUUGGGAGGCCGUGCUGUGCGCUCAAAAUGUACAGGGUCGCCUGCGUGGGCUGGGCUGUCAUCAUCACUGCGACAGAAGCCAGACGGCCCUGCAAACCAUCCGGAGGCUAAAUUCAGAACCAACCCUCGGCUCAGCCGUGCAGAAGAACCCGGAAACCUGUGUGCUUUCUGCUCUCCUCCACUCCUGCCCUGAGAACGCUUCCAGAGCCGGGGAUAGCCUUCCUAGAUGGCAGGAGCAGGGUCGCCAGAGCCGGACGCAGGAGAGGGAGAGAGGAGACCAGAGGGGACCCACUGCACGUGUGCAGGGCUGCCCAGUGCUUUCCUGGUUCUCUCAGCCCCAUCACGGUUCCGACAACCUGCCUUAGCUGGCUUGCUGGCUUCUGUUAACGCUGGUACAAUGUGAGUCUUGGGUCAUUUAUGAUAGAUUCCUCAGACACAGAGCCUGACGGGAGACAGGCAGGAUGGUGCAUGGGUGGGAGGGUGGCUGAGGCGUGGACGGACAGAUGGGGCAGAUGGACCAGUGGAUGGACGGAAGACGGAUGGAAGAUGGGGCAGGGAGGCAGGAAAGGAGGAAGCAGUAGGCAGGGAAGACAGUUCUAGGACCAGACGGGGUCCUCCGAGCUGGGACAGAGGGAGCCGGGCCCUGAGGAAGGCCGGGUGCCAGAGUCAAGAUGGAAGAAGAAGAGGCUCGGAGGCUGGGGACGCUGAGGGCUGUCCUCAAGCGUCCUGGGACCUCUCGGCCGCCCCAGAUCAGUCCCCGAGCAUUUCACGGGCCACGGGGCCUGACCUCAUCCAGCUGUUGAUUCAAACUGGCUUAUUUAUUGAAUAGACUCAAAUCUUGGGAGCUUUUACGUCAGUGCCUCCGUCGAUCGCUGUCUGCUGUAUCUGCCCGGAGUCUCGUUUAAUCAAACUCAGAUCUCCACGGUGACGCCCAAGCAAACACAGACAGAGCCUGUCCCGGGGGUGGGACGCAGCUGGGGGAAGCCGGCUGGGCACUUGGGGUACGAGGCCGANUCUGCUCCACAGUGCAGGGCUGCCCAGUGCUUUCCUGGUUCUCUCAGCCCCAUCACGGUUCCGACAACCUGCCUUAGCUGGCUUGCUGGCUUCUGUUAACGCUGGUACAAUGUGAGUCUUGGGUCAUUUAUGAUAGAUUCCUCAGACACAGAGCCUGACGGGAGACAGGCAGGAUGGUGCAUGGGUGGGAGGGUGGCUGAGGCGCGGACGGACAGAUGGGGCAGAUGGACCAGUGGAUGGACGGAAGACGGAUGGAAGAUGGGGCAGGGAGGCAGGAAAGGAGGAAGCAGUAGGCAGGGAAGACAGUUCUAGGACCAGACGGGGUCCUCCGAGCUGGGACAGAGGGAGCCGGGCCCUGAGGAAGGCCGGGUGCCAGAGUCAAGAUGGAAGAAGAAGAGGCUCGGAGGCUGGGGACGCUGAGGGCUGUCCUCAAGCGUCCUGGGACCUCUCGGCCGCCCCAGAUCAGUCCCCGAGCAUUUCACGGGCCACGGGGCCUGACCUCAUCCAGCUGUUGAUUCAAACUGGCUUAUUUAUUGAAUAGACUCAAAUCUUGGGAGCUUUUACGUCAGUGCCUCCGUCGAUCGCUGUCUGCUGUAUCUGCCCGGAGUCUCGUUUAAUCAAACUCAGAUCUCCAUGGUGACGUCCAAGCAAACACAGACAGAGCCUGUCCCGGGGGUGGGACGCAGCUGGGGGAAGCCGGCUGGGCAUUUGGGGUACGAGGCCGAGCAUGGAGGAAGCCCUCUGACACCGCCUCGGCCUCAAGGGUUGUACUCACGGGCCCUGUUGUCAUCUUCACGGCCACCGCGAGGUCUGCGCCAUCAGGAUCACGGUACAGACGGGGCCAGGAGAAGCCACACGGGGGAAGGCGCAGAGACAAUGGAAACCAGGUCUGUCUGGGGGCGCUGACCACGCAGCCCCCAGCCUAUGGUGGAACCCUGGUGCCAGCCUUCAGUCCACAGUGAACCCACCGCCAUCUGAGACUCUCUCUAAAAUCGUGCCCGCUCUUCCUGGGUCACAGAGGGCCAGGCUCACCGUCACUUUAAUGUCCCUACAAGUGCCCAGCACGGCCGACCUGCUGGCACAGCAGCGCCUUGUUGGCCCGGACAUUCGGGCCCCUGAGAGACAGCCUGUGAUGCCCCGGAAAUGCCCUGGGCUUCUGGAACACUCUGCACAUAGGGCCUGGCUCCGCCCGCCUCGCCUUCUGGACGGUCCGGCCCGGCCGGGUGGACGUCCCAGGCCCCAGACUGCCGCAGGCUCCAGUUCCCUAGACCCCACAUCCUCAACACACAACCUGAAGUUGAAAGAGGGCGAGGAAGACACCCUGGGGACAUAGGACCAAGUCUGAGACAGAGUCAUCACCCAGGAACACGACAGGGAGGCAGACGUGGACUGAGACCCUCGGAGGCCAGCUCUCCUGGAAGGUGACGUCUAGGAGGCAGUUUCCCCCAGCUUGUUCCUCGGAAGCCAACCCCAGGAAAUGCUCCGCAGAACCAGUAUAAGAGACUACUUAAAGCACAUAAACGAAACAAAACUUAAGUAAACAAAUUAAAUAAGUAAAUUAAAUGUUUAAUAAAAUAAAAUCUCUCUUUUUUUUUUUUUUUUUUGGUCUUUUUAGGGCCACACCCACAGCUCG
rnacentral:lncRNA from 1 species